rnacentral:other from 1 species
CGGCGACUGCGAUAUUCGUUAGCUGAUUUGGGUAUUCUUGAGCCGUAAAUAAAGCCCCUGGGGGUAAUUUUCCGGUAUUGUGUGCAUGUCCGCCCGACGGAAAGCCUGAUAUGCCGGAUGCGCUCCCACUUGAACUUCUGGUUCAAGACGAAAAUCGCGACGGUAUCCGUGGUUGCCGC